AUUGAACGCUAGCGGGAUGCCUUACCCAUGCAAGUCGAACGAGUGGCGAAAGGGUGAGUAAUGUAUCGGGACGUGCCCAGUAGCGGGGGAUCACUACGCGAGAAGUAGCUAAUCCCGCAUAAUAUUGACGCGGCCGCUCGCGGAUUAGCUAGUUGGUGGGGUAAAGGCUCACCAAGGCGACGAUCCGUAGCUGGUGUGCGAGGACGACCAGCCACACUGGGACUGCGACACGGCCCAGACUCCUACGGGAGGCAGCAGUUGGGAAUUUUGGACAAUGGGCGAAACCCUGAUCCAGCCAUCCCGCGUGUGCGAUGAAGGCCUUCGGGUUGUAAAGCACUGUUGUCAGGAAAGCGGUAUCUGCAGAAUAAGCACCGGCUAACUACGUGCCAGCAGCCGCGGUAAUUC
rnacentral:rRNA from 1 species